ACGGCGUCUUCUGGAAAAUCUGCGCUUGGACCUUGAUUCCUGUAAGACCCGUCUGAAGAAGGCCAAGGCGACUGAGGCCAGGUCUGCGACGGCUCCAGAUUUUCAGGAGACCAGACCCCGAAACUAUGUGCUUUCUGCCAGUGCAUCUGCGCUCUGGAGUGAGGAAGUGGAAAAAG